CUGAACGAUCAUAGGGGCUGGGAUACACCUGUUCUCAUUUCGAACACAGAAGUUAAGACAGCUUCCGUUCCUGUGUGGUACUGCAUUUCAAUGCGGGAAGCCUGGAAAGUCGUUCACC
rnacentral:rRNA from 1 species